UAGGGAAUAUUGGGCAAUGGAGGCAACUCUGACCCAGCCAUGCCGCGUGCAGGAAGAAGGCCCUCUGGGUUGUAAACUGCUUUUGGACGGGGACAAAAUGGCCAUGCGUGGCAAAUUGAGUGUACCGUCAGAAUAAGCACCGGCUAACUCCGUGCCAGCAGCCGCGGUAAUACGGAGGGUGCAAGCGUUGUCCGGAUUUAUUGGGUUUAAAGGGUGCGUAGGCGGCCUUAUAAGUCAGUGGUGAAACCCUUGGGCUUAACCCAAGGAGUGCCAUUGAUACUGUGAGGCUUGGGUUAUCUCUGGGCGGGCGGAAUGGAUGGUGUAGCGGUGAAAUGCAUAGAUAUCAACCAGAACGCCGACAGCGAAGGCAGCUCGCUGGGGAUAUACCGACGCUGAGGCACGAUAGCGUGGGGAUCAAACAGG
rnacentral:rRNA from 1 species